rnacentral:rRNA from 1 species
AGUGAACGCUGGCGGUAGGCCUAACACAUGCAAGUCGAACGGCAGCACAGUAAGAGCUUGCUCUUACGGGUGGCGAGUGGCGGACGGGUGAGGAAUACAUCGGAAUCUACUUUUUCGUGGGGGAUAACGUAGGGAAACUUACGCUAAUACCGCAUACGACCUACGGGUGAAAGCAGGGGAUCGUCGGACCUUGCGCGAUUGAAUGAGCCGAUGUCGGAUUAGCUAGUUGGCGGGGUAAAGGCCCACCAAGGCGACGAUCCGUAGCUGGUCUGAGAGGAUGAUCAGCCACACUGGAACUGAGACACGGUCCAGACUCCUACGGGAGGCAGCAGUGGGGAAUAUUGGACAAUGGGGGCAAGCCUGAUCCAGCCAUACCGCGUGGGUGAAGAAGGCCUUCGGGUUGUAAAGCCCUUUUGUUGGGAAAGAAAAGCAGCAGGUUAAUACCCCGCUGUUCUGACGGUACCCAAAGAAUAAGCACCGGCUAACUUCGUG